rnacentral:rRNA from 1 species
UACAGAGACUGCAAGCGUUAUUCGGAUUCACUGGGCGUAAAGGGUGCGCAGGCGGCCGAGUGUGUGAGGCGUGAAAGCCCGGGGCUUAACCCCGGAAUUGCACCUCAAACUACACGGCUAGAGCAUUGGAGAGGGUAGCAGAAUUCAUGGUGUAGCAGUGAAAUGCGUAGAUAUCAUGAGGAACACCUGUGGUGUAGACAGCUUACUGGACCAUUUCUGACGCUGAGACACGAAAGCGUGGGUAGCAAACAGG